rnacentral:misc_RNA from 1 species
UUCUCUGUUCGUUUCCUCAUCAUACAGGAAAAGCUGCGCGUAAUUUGUUGUGCCUUCGCUGCGGACUUCGCCCUCUGUGUUGCUCUGCGCCUUCUCUUUUUUCGCUCGUGUUGGCUUCUGCAUGCAUCUCCAGGAGGCGUGUAGCUGACUUCGCAGACGCGGUCUCUAGCUCCCAUCCUCGCGCAGUCCUUGCAUCUUUCGCUUAUUCUUCUCCGUCUGUAAAGAGCUUUCUUCAAUCACCAAGAGGCUCCAACACAGGUUGAGUUUGCCAGUAUCUCACAGCAUCCACCACUUCUGCUGCUAGCGCUUGCCUCCCGGCUCUUCAAUUUCUCGUCUCUCCUAUCGUCUUGGCGAUGUCGAAGCUGCUGCAGAAGGUUGCCAUCGGUGCGAUGGCUGCCGGCCUUAGCGUGUACAGCUGCUGCUUUGUGGUCUACCCAGGUGAGGCGUGCAUUCUGUACAACAAGAUCAGCGGACUGAAGGACUCCGUGUACGGCGAAGGCCUUCAGGGGCGCAUCAUCGGCCUGGACGAAGUCUUGCGCUUCAACGUGCGGGUGCGCCCGCGCACGCUGCACACAAUGACCGGCACAAAGGAUCUGCAGAUGGUGAACGUGCGGCUGCGCGUGCUUUUCCGUCCCAUGGCUGACCGCCUCCCGCAGAUCUACCGCACCUUCGGUCUCGACUACGACGAGCGCAUCCUGCCAUCUGUCAGCAACGAAAUCCUGAAGGCGGUUGUGGCGGAGUACAAGGCGGAGGAGCUCAUUCAAAAGCGCGACGCCGUCUCCGCGCGCAUUUACCAGCUCAUGCAGGAGAAGGUGAAUCAGUUCGGUCUCAUCAUUGAAGACCUCUCGCUGGUAGACAUCCAGUUUGGCGCCGACUUCAUGACGGCGGUGGAGCAGAAGCAGGUAGCCCAGCAGGAAGCAGAGCGCUACCGCUAUGUCGUGAUGGAGAAUGAGCAGAAGCGCCGUGCUGCCGUGGUGCGCGCCGAGGGUGAGGCGGAGUCGGCGCGGCUCAUUUCGGAGGCCAUUCAGAAAUCCGGGUCCGGCCUGCUGGAGCUGCGCCGCAUCGAGGCAGCCGUGGAGGUGGCUAAUCAGAUCGUGCCCAUGCAGAACGUUACGUUCGUACCGAAGGAUGCGAACAUGUUGAUGAGCAUGUCGAGGUGAGGCGUUUGCUCUCUGGCCAGCCAUUCUUUGCAUGCCGGAUCGCUGCCGCUGGUGAAGUAAUUCGUGUUGUUGUUGCCAUGUGCCUGCAUGUGUGUGUGUGUGUUCCUCUUUUCCUAUGUGUGCGCGUGCGGCGAUGCUUCUUCGCGUUGGCUCUCGUGGUGUGCGGGCAUCUUGUCGGGUUGGCUCGCUCCGUUCGUGACACGAUGGCUUUCGUGCCGGUAUCGUCCGCGGUGAGUGUAGGGGGAAGGCUGCGGCAGAGUGUGUGUGAGAAAAAAGAGUUCCUCGGAAGGCGCUCUUGUGCAUCUACGUGUAUGUGUGUGCGGGCGCGCGUACCUACAAGAUUGUGGUGGGCACGUCCUUCUUGAAGUAUUUGAGGGGCCCAGCAUCUCAAGGUGAGCCAACCGUGAUGAGCCGCGCACAGGGGCCGUCGCGGCCCGCAAGGUGCUUGCACUGUGAUUACGGCCGGACCGCUCAUGCUAAGUGUUUCGUUUUUAUGUGCGUUUCCUUCUUCGAUUUUUUGUGUUUUGUGUACCGUUGUCGUGUGCCAUCUUUCACAUCGUAGGCGUAGUCUCAAGUGAUCCCAUGCUCAGCGGUCGGAGAAGGUGGUGGUUCACCAACUCCCGCACUAGCCCCCCUUCACCUUCUUCCUCUGCGCUCUAUGUGCGCACGCGCAUGUGGCCGCUGCUGUCAUUGGAAGGUCGAAGCGCUUCGACGGUGCAUGAGGUCAGCCAUGCCCACCACCAGGAGAGAAUGACCUGUGAGCACUGACUUCACACACACUCGCGUCUCUCAACUCGGAAGGGACCGCCCACCGUGCGCAUCAGCACGUGUGCACGCACACUCGCUACGGAGGCAGCAGUGUGGAGGCGACGUCUCGACGGGCACCGCUGCCACCGGCUUCAUCUCUCUCGCUUUGUGAUGGCCGUCCCUACGAGGACGCCUCGGCAUAGCCGCGGACCUGCUUUCUCACCGGCACGUAUUCCGGACUUCCCCCGCCAACGCCCUUUCACGACUCCUUGUUGUUUUGCCUCCCUCUUUGCUUGUCCGCGUCCUCUCCUCUCGGCGGCGGGUGGCCUCGGGAUCUGCGUGUGUGUGCGUGUGUCUGAGCGCACGGGUCACUUACGCGCCUCAACAG